rnacentral:rRNA from 1 species
UACGUAGGGUGCAAGCGUUGUCCGGAAUUAUUGGGCGUAAAGCGCGUGUAGGCGGCUCGGUAAGUCUGCUGUGAAAGUCCAGGGCUCAACCCUGGGAUGCCGGUGGAUACUGUCGAGCUCGAGUCCGGAAGAGGCGAGUGGAAUUCCUGGUGUAGCGGUGAAAUGCGCAGAUAUCAGGAGGAACACCAAUGGCGAAGGCAGCUCGCUGGGACGUGACUGACGCUGAGACGCGAAAGCGUGGGGAGCAAACAGG